rnacentral:misc_RNA from 1 species
UUAGUGGGAAAAUGAGUUUUAAAUAGUUGUUUAAUAAUAUUAAAGUUAGAGAGGUAUAAUGGUAAAUUUGUAUAGUUUUUAUAGUUUUAUUUUUAAGUUUGAAUGUAUUUUUUUUGAUAUUAGUAAUUAAAGAAAAAAAUUUGUUAUAUGUAAUUUUAAAAUAUUAGUUUAUUUGUGUAUGUUUUUUAUUUUGUUUAAGGUUUAUUUUUUUAUUGA